UUUGUGGGGGCCUCUCCCUUGAGCAGGUCCUGCCUCCGCGUGUCUGGCUCCGGAUCCCAGAAUUGAGCCAUUUCUCUGAACUGCUUCUUCCAGGAGAUCGUGUUUUGAAGACAGAGUUUGAACUAACACAAUAAGAGGGCCAAUUUGAAUGAAUAAAAGUCUGAAUUAUGGAAAUCGUGCAUAGAAAUGCGUACUGGAAACGUCCCGAUGCCAGCUCUGAACUCACAUCAUGAUUCUAGAAAUGGUGACCGAGGAGCGGACCUGACGGUGCUUUGGGCAGAAAGAGCAGCAGGGCCUGGCUCUCUCGCUGUUCUGUCAUCGUGUAUGUGGACGUAAUUAUGCCAUUGACAAAAUGCUUUCACCUCAGUUUGUUUCCUUUAUCUGCUUAUUCCCUGGCGCAGACGUGACAAAGGAACCGUGGAUUCCAAACUAGGUCGAUUGUUCUCAGCGUCUGCAUAAAUAAUAGAUGCCAAAUUAGCAUCACCUUCUCUAGCCUGCAGCGAGAUCAAGGAAGAGACCCGACUUGAAGCCAACCAGCGACAAGCAACUCAUUUCGACCAUCUGCAAAGGACUUUGUAAAUAGUGGAAAUAAAUUUCCCUGCAGCUGAGUGCAAACAACCCAUUACUAUUAUUGUUAUUACAUCUGUCUACAUUGAUUUCACUUGCAACAUUUACCUACGUGCUAAAUGAUUUAAUGUAAAAAUAAACUCUGGAUAUGCGACCAAGUCUCCGUAAUGUUCCAAUCCUAACCUUCUUCCCUCGGCCAUGUCAGCACCUAACACAGCCCUGACGUGGUUCAAGGAGCUGAGCAGUGUCCGCGUGUUCAUUGCUUCGAAGGCCCUGGAGAUUCCAGCCAGGUGUGCUCCCAGCCCGAGCCAGGAAGAGACCCUCUGCUGGGUUCAAGCAAGGCUGAGAAAAACGUGGAACAGGGCCGGCCAUGGCUCACUAGGCUAAUCCUCGGCCUGCAGCGCCGGCACACCGGGUUCUAGUCCCGGUCGGGGCGCUGGAUUCUGUCCCGGUUGCCCCUCUUCCAGGCCAGCCCUCUGCUGUG
rnacentral:lncRNA from 1 species